AUCACUGCGCCGGGAUGAGCCGGCUGCUCCACGUCAAAUAGUGCCGUCGCCUCCCCCCCUCCCUGCGGGAGGGCUCCCUUAGCCCCCGUCCUGCACCCCGUGCCGCGCCCUGAAUCCAGGCGACCAUCCUGUCCACCAUUGGCAGAAGUUUGCUCCAGCGCUCAGAGGAGUGGCCCCAAGCGAGGCCAGACUGUGAGGACGGCGGGGAACGCAGCGACUUCUCCAGGGGACAGCGCCAGGCGGGAGCGGCUGGCCCAAACCCGGACUCGUAGUCUAAGGGACCUGGCCAGGGUUAGAGACUGAGCGCUGGCCACCCUUGGCAAAGUGGGCCUCGACAGCGGGCAACGCAAGGCCAGCGGCACGCAGCUGGAGACUCCUGGGUGCAUCCGGCCAGACAUCCGCGAGAAAACUAGAAGACGUCGCAUCGGGAAACAGGGUACCUUCGGCCCCACCACUCCCGCGCGGGUUUCGUCCUGGAAUAGCAGGAGGGAUGGUGCGGUCCCAGGGCAGGAGUUAACAGCCCCUGCGAGCUGCUGCUGGGCGGCCCUGGCCCCUCCGGCUGUGGAGCAGCGGCGCGAAGCCGGGAGGGGAUGGAGGGCUCGGAGGGCGGGUCCCCUGACCCCGCUAGAGGCGAGAGGGCGGAUCAGAUUUGGAGCCUGAGGGAGGCUUGGUCAGAAGUGGCCCCCUGUGCUGGGGGGGCCCCCCGGAGGGGCCCGGCUUUGUGGAGGAUUAGCGGUCACCGCCC
ensembl:antisense C130021I20Rik Riken cDNA C130021I20 gene